GCAGGCUUGGGGCUCUGCUGGCCCCUCGGCAGCCACGUCGCACCCACUACAGCGUCUACUAGGGCCUGUGGUCACACAGGCUAGGUCUUUGUGACAGGACAGCUGGAGGCCCACAUCUGCCUCCUCAAGCAAAGCAGAUGGAGUGGAUCUCUCCCCAUGGCGGGCUGCUCAGGGGCGUGUGGUAGAUCUCCAUGACCCGUCUCAAACCCACGCUUCUCAGCUUGGCUUUCUUCCUCACACCAGUUCUACCAAGAGCCUAACCCUAACUGGUGUGCCACUGACAUCAGGGAUUCCCCGAGAAUGGCCUGCUCUGGAGCCUCCCUGGAUCACGCUUGCCCACAAGAUGUCCUCCCGCCCCACUCGCUCAAGUGGCUUCUCCUGACAGCGUCUCCCGGGUGCUCUGCACUCAUCCUGUGCUCCUGGGUAUUUACAAACUCGUCACUCAGAAUGAUGGAGUCACAGAACCUGAGGCCCAGGACGUCUGUCAGAGAUCAGAGUCUGGCACUCACUCGCAAGCGCAAACGUGAGGCCCACAGAGUCAACGCAAAGCAUCCUGAAGAUGGUCUCCUGGCAUAUCCAUGCACUGAACACACUUCUCCGGAGAACACUGCUUUGGAGAUGUGAUCACUCCCCAGCUCAAAAUCUUGACCCAUCCCAUGGUCUUCAAGAUAAACUCCAAGCUUGGCAGGGAAGUCAAGGCCCAACGCACUCUCCAGAGUGAAACAGACUGAAUCCAAAUUCAAAUGCCACCUCAGAAAGCCCUCCGGGAUUACUGCAUGAUUAUUCCUUCUUUUGGGAUUCCUUGUACUUAAAUGAUAUUUUAGAAUUUAAUGACCUGUAAUUCACAGAAAAUAAACCUCAUCAUUUCAAAAUGUA